ACAUAAAUAGGACAGAGAGGGAGAGAAAGGAGCAGGGAAGGGAAAACCAGCAGCAAGGGUUAACAGAAGUCUGCAGGGAAGGACUGAGAGAGACAUCACAGACACGCCCACUCCUCCCUCAUUGGCUGUUGCUCUAUAGCUUAUACAGAAACAGCCGUCGGCUGCAGUUCAGAUACUGAAGAGUCUGAGACAGGAAGUUUCAAAGGGGGAGGGCUGAGAACAGUUUUCAAGCUAAUACAGGCGGUUUUUGAUGCAAAAGAUAAACAAACAAAAUAUUAAAAAGAAAGAAAACAGACAUAAGAAGACAUGAAAUAAGGAUUCUGCCCGUCACCAUAAAGGGGUCACAUUUGGAACAUGACAAACUACACAACUAUACAUUAGUUAAACAAUGACCAAUAAAAUUGUGAAGUAUGA